CCACAACUUUGAUUCGCCACCACAGUUGUCCAAUUGUCCAGCCUCCAACGGUGAUCCACACAGAGAAUAUGAUUGCAGCCUCUAGGAUUUUCUCUUGUGCUAGCAAGAAUAAUAAAAACCUUAAUGGACCUCAAACCCUAGUUAUGUAUUUAUAUAAACCCAAAUAGGCUCGGCCCGGUCCGACCCAAUAAUUAAUUAAUCCAAUUAAUUAAACCCGGUCCGUGAAUUAAUUAAUCCAAUUAAUUAAUUCGAAAAUAUAAAUAACAAAUCCAAUUAAUUAAUUUAUCCAACGAUUGUUAAAUUAAUCAAUUGGCAAUUUGCAAUCUUCCAAUUCUCUUUUGUGUGUGACCCAUUAGGUUCCCGACCACGAUGCCUAACGACGUGAAAUAUUAUUUUGAUCUAAUCAAAAUUGAUAAAUUAAAACACCCUUUUAAUUUAUCGUCAAUUCACAUUCGCCGUCCCUGAUUGACAUCUAGCAAUGUGUCAGGGCAAUAUAUGUGACGGGAAAUGUCACGUGGUAUGACAAAACCAAAUUCGUUCGUUUACCGUGAAACUAUAAUCCCUUCGUCAAUAUGAU
rnacentral:lncRNA from 1 species